ACCUGUUAAAUAGCCCACUGGACUAUGGUUGGCGGCUGGCUUUUUAGAGGGCCUAUUGGCGUUUAGCCAAUGGAAGUUUGAGCCAAUACCAGUUCUGUGAUGCCCUUAGAUGUUUUGGCCCGCACGCGCGUUCCACUGACGGAGCCAAGGAGUUUUUUCCUUGUCCGGAAGGACUGGGUAAUCUUGUGAAACUUUGUCGUGCUGGGGAUAGAGCAUUGCAAUUAUUGCUCUUCAACGAGGAAUUCCUAGUAAGCGUGAGUCAUCAGCUCGCGUUGAUUACGUCCCUGCCCUGAACUACUC
rnacentral:rRNA from 1 species